rnacentral:rRNA from 1 species
AACGUAGGAGGCGAGCGUUAUCCGGAGUUACUGGGCGUAAAGCGCGUGCAGGCGGUCUUGCGCGUCUGAUGUGAAAGCUCCCGGCUAAACUGGGAGAGGGCGUCGGAUACGGCAGGACUAGAGGCCAGUAGAGGGGUAUGGAAUUCCGGGUGUAGUGGUGAAAUGCGUAGAGAUCGGCAGGAACACCCAAGGGGAAGCCAGCCGACUGGCCCGCACCUGACACUCAGGGACGACAGCGUGGGGAGCGAACCGG